rnacentral:lncRNA from 1 species
GCUUCCUUGCUUUGAUCUCACGCAGAAUAAUGUUGUGUGGUGGUGGUUGGACGGUGGAAAGAUGUCUGGUGAGUGGAAACAUAUUGGUGGAUGAAAUAAUGUGAUGGGAUGUAUGUGAGGUGUGGUGUAUGACAUGUGGGACCCAAGGAGUGUGGGUCAUGCUUCUAGAAGGUUACGAUUAUUAAAUAUAAUGCAGGAAAAUCUAUGAUAAUUGAAACUUAAUUAAAAUGAUAAUGGAAAAUAUUUUUGUGCCUCCACAAUAAUUAAUAAAUAUGGGUU